GAGUUUGAUCCUGGCUCAGGGUGAACGCUGGCGGCGCGCUUAAUGCAUGCAAGUCGAGCGUGAUCGUGGCUUCGGCCACAAUGAUAAAGCGGCAGACGGCUGAGUAACGCGUGAGUAAUCUGCCCUCCGGUGGGGUAUAACCUCGGGAAACUGAGGAUAAUCCCGCAUACGACCUGCAUCCCAUGGGAUGCAGAUGAAAGGCUUUGGUCGCCGGAGGAGGAGCUCGCGUCCUAUCAGGUUGUUGGUGGGGUAAUGGCCCACCAAGCCGAUGACGGGUAGCUGGUCUGAGAGGAUGACCAGCCAGAGGGGGACUGAGAACGGCCUCCACUCCUACGGGAGGCAGCAGCAGGGAAUCUUGGGCAAUGGGCGAAAGCCUGACCCAGCGACGUCGCGUGGGGGACGAAGGCCUUAGGGUUGUAAACCCCUUUUCCGAGGGAAGAUACAGGACGGUACCUCGGGAAUAAGCCCCGGCUAACUACGUGCCAGCAGCCGCGGUAAUACGUAGGGGGCAAGCGUUACCCGGAAUCACUGGGCGUAAAGUGCGCGUAGGCGGUUGGAUAAGUCUCUUGUGAAAGCUCCCGGCUCAACUGGGAGAGGUCAAGGGAUACUAUUCGACUUGAGGACAGCAGAGGUAAGCAGAAUUCCCGGUGUAGCGGUGGAAUGCGUAGAUAUCGGGAGGAACACCAGUGGCGAAAGCGGCUUACUGGGCUGUAGCUGACGCUGAGGCGCGAGAGCGUGGGGAGCAAACUGGAUUAGAUACCCUGGUAGUC
rnacentral:rRNA from 1 species